rnacentral:misc_RNA from 1 species
GAUGAAGAACGCAGCGAAAUGCGAUAAGUAAUGUGAAUUGCAGAACUCAGUGAAUCAUCGAAUCUUUGAACGCACAUUGCGCCCCUUGGUAUUCCGAGGGGCAUGCCUGUUCGAGCGUCAUUAUAACCCUCAAGCUCAGCUUGGUGUUGGGGCCUGCUGCACUGGCAGCCCUUAAAAUCAGUGGCGGCGCCAUCUGGCUCUAAGCGUAGUAAUUCUUCUCGCUAUGGAGUCCUGGUGGAUGCUUGCCAUCAACCCCCAAUUUUUCUAUGGUUGACCUCGGAUCAGGUAGGGAUACCCGCUGAACUUAAGCAUAUCAAUUAAGCGGAGGA